AUUGAACGCUGGCGGCAGGCCUAACACAUGCAAGUCGAGCGGAUGAAGGGAGCUUGCUCCUGGAUUCAGCGGCGGACGGGUGAGUAAUGCCUAGGAAUCUGCCUGGUAGUGGGGGAUAACGUCCGGAAACGGGCGCUAAUACCGCAUACGUCCUGAGGGAGAAAGUGGGGGAUCUUCGGACCUCACGCUAUCAGAUGAGCCUAGGUCGGAUUAGCUAGUUGGUGGGGUAAAGGCCUACCAAGGCGACGAUCCGUAACUGGUCUGAGAGGAUGAUCAGUCACACUGGAACUGAGACGCGGUCCAGACUCCUACGGGAGGCAGCAGUGGGGAAUAGUGGACAAUAGGCGAAAGCCUGAUCCAGCCAUGCCGCGUGUGUGAAGAAGGUCUUCGGAGUGUAAAGCACUUUAAGUUGGGAGGAAGGGCAGUAAGUUAAUACCUUGCUGUUUUGACGUUACCAACAGAAUAAGCACCGGCUAACUUCGUG
rnacentral:rRNA from 1 species